UGCCAGCCGCCGCGGUAAUACGGAGGGUGCAAGCGUUGUUCGGAUUUACUGGGCGUAAAGGGAGCGCAGGCGGCUAGGUCAGUCUGAAGUGGAAGCCCGGGGCUCAACCCCGGAAGGCCUUUGGAUACUACCUAGCUUGAGUUCGUGAGAGGAGAGUGGAAUUCCAGGUGUAGCGGUGAAAUGCGUAGAUAUCUGGAGGAACAUCGAUGGCGAAAGCAACUCUCUGGCACGAUACUGACGCUGAGGCUCGAAAGCGUGGGGAGCGAACAGGAUUAGAUA
rnacentral:rRNA from 1 species